ensembl:rRNA 5S_rRNA 5S ribosomal RNA
GUCCGCGGCCACGCCACCCUGAACGCGCCCGGUCCCGUCUGGUCUCGGAAGCUAAGCAGGGUCGGGCCUGGUCAGGACUUGGAUGGGAGACCACCUAGGAAGCCCGGGUGCGGCAGGCG